rnacentral:rRNA from 1 species
CCUACGGGAGGCAGCAGUAGGGAAUCUUUCACAAUGGGCGAAAGCCUGAGGGAGCAACGCCGCGUGCAGGAUGAAGGCCUUCGGGUUGGAAACUGCUUUUAUAAGCGAGAAAUAUUAUGGUAACUUAUUUAGAGGGAUCGGCUAACUACGUGCCAGCAGCCGCGGUCAUACGUAGGAUCCGAGCAUUAUCCGGAGUGACUGGGUGUAAAGAGUUGCGUAGGUGGCAUAAUAAGUAGCUAGUGAAAUCUGGUGGCUCAACCAUUCAGACUAUUAGCUAAACUGUUAAGCUCGAGACCGUUAGGGGUAACUGGAAUUUAUAGUGUAGGAGUGAAAUCCGUAGAUAUUAGAAGGAACACCAAUAGCGUAGGCAGGUUGCUGGGACAGUUCUGACACUAAGGCACGAAAGCGUAGGGAGCAAACGGGAUUAGAUACCCGGGUAGUC